AGUGAACGCUGGCGGCGUGCUUAACACAUGCAAGUCGAACGAGAACGGGUUAUAGCUUGCUAUAAUUGUCAGCUAAGUGGCGCACGGGUGAGUAAUGUAUAGGUAAUAUGCCUCUUACUAAGGGAUAACAAAUGGAAACGUUUGCUAAUACCUUAUACUCCUUAUUAACAGAAGUUAAUAAGGGAAUGAUUUAUUGGUAAGAGAUUAGCCUGUAUUGUAUCAGUUAGUUGGUGGGGUAAUGGCUUACCAAGACUAUGACACAUAACUGGUUUGAGAGGAUGAUCAGUCACACUGGAACUGGGACACGGUCCAGACUCCUACGGGAGGCAGCAGUGGGGAAUAUUGCACAAUGGACGAAAGUCUGAUGCAGCAACGCCGCGUGGAGGAUGACACAUUUCGGUGCGUAAACUCCUUUUAUAUGAGAAGAUAAUGACGGUAUUAUAUGAAUAAGCACCGGCUAACUCCGUGCCAGCCGCCGCGGUAA
rnacentral:rRNA from 1 species